rnacentral:rRNA from 1 species
GAGUAGUAAAUGUUUUGGGCAGGAAACUUAAAGAAUUUGGCGGUGUAUAUUCUAAAUAGAGGAAUAUGUUUUUGAAUUGAUAAUCCCCAAGUAUUUUACUUAUAUUUAUUUAUUUUGUAUAUCUCCGUCUUAAAAAACCUUUUUAAAAUAUUUUUU